CUUUGUCUUCUUUUCUUCAAGAAUCUUUUAAACUUUCUAGUGAUGAGGGCCAUUUCUUCAUCUUGCUCUUUAUUUUUAGUUUCUUCAAAUUCCUCAUCAAGUUGAGUAGUGGACAUGAGGGUGAUUGUCCUCUUCUUCUUGACAUCUUGUUCUUGAUGUUAUUUCAUGCUUAGUUAAUGUGUCAUUAGCGAUCCUAGAAGCUCCUCCAAGGAUAAAUAUUCAGAUCUUUGGUUUCUUGGAUUGCGGUCACUUUGGCCUCCCACAUCCUUGGUAAAGACCUAAGAAUCUUUCCCACA
rnacentral:lncRNA from 1 species